GCUACCAUGCAGUCGUACGAGAAGUCGGCUUCGGCCGGCAAGUAAAGUGGCGCAGGGUGAGCAACGAGUGGAUAUCUGCCCUUUAGUUAGGAAUAACGUACCGAAGGUUCGCUAAUACCGAAAAUACUAAGUAACUACUGUUGCUUAGUCAAAGAAGGCCUCUGCUUGCAAGCUUUUGCUGAAGGAUGAGUCCGCGUACCAUUAGCUAGUUGGUGGGGUAAUGGCCUACCAAGGCUUCGAUGGUUAGCUGGUCUGAGAGGAUGAUCAGCCACACUGGAACUGAGACACGGUCCAGACUCCUACGGGAGGCAGCAGUGAGGAAUAUUGCGCAAUGGAGGAAACUCUGACGCAGCAACGCCGCGUGCGGGAUGAAGUUCUUAGGAAUGUAAACCGCUGUUUGGAAGGAAGAAUGGGUACAAUUUGAAUAGGGUUGUGCAUUGACGGUACUUUCAGAGGAAGCCCCGGCUAACUACGUGCCAGCAGCCGCGGUAAUACGUAGGGGGCGAGCGUUGUCCGGAAUUAUUGGGCGUAAAGGGCGCGCAGGCGGGGAUUUAAGUCUGAGGUGAAAGUAUGCGGCUUAACCGUAUAAUUGCCUUGGAUACUGGAUUUCUUGAGUACGGGAGAGGGAAGCGGAAUUCCUGGUGUAGCGGUGAAAUGCGUAGAUACCAGGAAGAACACCGGCUGCGAAGGCGGCUUCCUGGCCCGGAACUGACGCUAGGCGCGAAGUGCGGGGAGCGAACAGGAUUAGAUACCCUGGUAGUCCGCACAGUAAACGAUGGGUACUAGGUGUCGGCCGCGAGGUCGGCGCCAGAGCAAACGCAUUAAGUACCCCGCCCGGGGAGUACGAUCGCAAGAUUGAAACUCAAAGGAAUUGACGGGGGCCCUGCACAUGCGGUGGAGCAUGUGGUUUAAUUCGAUGCAACGCGAGAACCUUCACCUGGGCUUGAACUGCAGUUGACUGUUCGUGACAGCGGAUUUCCGCAUGACGCUGCAGCAGUGCUGCAUGGCUGUCGUCAGCAUCGUGUCGUGAGAU
rnacentral:rRNA from 1 species